rnacentral:lncRNA from 1 species
CGAGAGGAUGCUGCUGGGGAAUCUCUGCUGCAGCGCUGGACUUCACUGGAAGGGCUUGCUGGGAACGUCGAAACUUUCCGAACAUGCACGACUUUCUCUUCUCAACGUUCAAGUCCACCCACUCAUCGAGUGGGAGCCUCAUAACACAGGUACAGAGAUGUGAAGCUUUUGAUAGAGAACAUGCACUGCUGGUGGCAAAGUGAUGGACUGGACUGGACUAAGAUCCUGCACUAAGGAUUCCUCCCUGCCAUUCUCAGAAAUAAUUUGAAGUUAUCAGCACAGCCUCUGCUUACCGAGCAACAGGAA